rfam:Candidate division TM6 bacterium GW2011_GWE2_42_60 TV38_C0003, whole genome shotgun sequence.
GCGAUGAAGAGUUUGAUUCUGGCUCAGAAUAAACGCUGGCGGCGUGCUUAACACAUGCAAGUCGAACGAGAAAGGUCUUCGGACUGAGUAAAGUGGCGAACGGGUGAGUAACGCGUGAGAAUCUACCCCUUAGUGAAGAAUACCUUCGAGAAAUCGAAGUUAAUGCUGCAUAAGCUCCUUAAUUGGAGGAAAGAUGGCCUCUUUGCUGUCGCUGAGGGAUGAGCUUGCGUACUAUUAGCUAGUUGGUGGGGUAAAGGCCUACCAAGGCGAGGAUGGUUAGCCGGCCUGAGAGGGUGUACGGCCACAUUGGAACUUAGACACGGUCCAGACUCCUACGGGAGGCAGCAGUGAGGAAUAUUGCGCAAUGGGCGAAAGCCUGACGCAGCGACGCCGCGUGGAGGAUGAAGGCCUUCGGGUUGUAAACUUCUGUUGAACGGGAAAAAAUGCGUAAAUUUAAUAAAUUUACGAGAUGAUUGUACUGUUAAAGAAAGCACCGGCUAACUUCGUGCCAGCAGCCGCGGUAAUACGAAGGGUGCGAGCGUUAUUCGGAAUCAUUGGGCGUAAAGGGUGCGCAGGCGGCGCAUUAAGUCAACUGUUUAAUUCCUCGGCUUAACCGGGGGUCAGCAGUAGAUACUGGUGUGCUAGAGUGUGGAAGAGAGAAGUGGAAUUCUCGGAGUAGCGGUAAAAUGCGUAGAUCUCGAGAGGAACACCGAUGGCGAAAGCAGCUUCUUGGUCCAUUACUGACGCUCAUGCACGAAAGCGUGGGGAGCAAACAGGAUUAGAUACCCUGGUAGUCCACGCUGUAAACGAUGAUCACUGGACGUUGGAUCUGCUUGCAGAUUCAGUGUCGUAGCUAACGCGAUAAGUGAUCCGCCUGGGGAGUACGGUCGCAAGAUUAAAACUCAAAGAAAUUGACGGGGGUCCGCACAAGCGGUGGAACAUGUGGUUUAAUUCGAUACUACGCGAGGAACCUUACCUAGGCUUGACAUGCUUAUGACAGUUGUAGAAAUACAAUCUUUCAAGGGUAACCUUGAACAUUUGCACAGGUGCUGCAUGGCUGUCGUCAGCUCGUGUCGUGAGAUGUCGGGUUAAGUCCUUUAACGAGCGCAACUCCUGCGAUCAGUUGCUAUUUCCUUUUUGGAAAGCACUCUGAUCGGACUGCCUGGGAAACCAGGAGGAAGGCGGGAAUGACGUCAAGUCCUCAUGGCCCUUAUGCCUAGGGCGACACACGUGUUACAAUGGCUGGUACAAAAGGUUGCAAACCCGUAAGGGGAAGCUAAUCCUCUAAAGCCAGUCUAAGUUCGGAUCGAGGUCUGCAACCCGACCUCGUGAAGUUGAAAUCGCUAGUAAUCGCAUAUCAGAACGAUGCGGUGAAUACGUUCUCGGACCUUGUACACACCGCCCGUCACACCAUGAAAGCUGUCUGCACCCGAAAUCAUUUUAGCUAACCCGUAAGGGGGGCGGAUGUUGAAGGUGUGGGGAGUGAUCGGGGUUAAGUCGUAACAAGGUAGCUGUAGGAGAACCUGCGGCUGGAUCACCUCCUUU